GACGAACGCUGGCGGCGUGCCUAAUACAUGCAAGUCGAGCGGACUGACUGGGAGCUUGCUCUUGUUCGGUCAGCGGCGGACGGGUGAGUAACACGUGGGCAACCUGCCCGCAAGACCGGGAUAACUCCGGGAAACCGGAGCUAAUACCGGAUAACACCGAAGACCGCAUGGUCUUUGGUUGAAAGGCGGCGCAAGCUGCCACUUGCGGAUGGGCCCGCGGCGCAUUAGCUAGUUGGUGAGGUAACGGCUCACCAAGGCGACGAUGCGUAGCCGGCCUGAGAGGGUGACCGGCCACACUGGGACUGAGACACGGCCCAGACUCCUACGGGAGGCAGCAGUAGGGAAUCUUCCGCAAUGGGCGAAAGCCUGACGGAGCGACGCCGCGUGAGCGAAGAAGGCCUUCGGGUCGUAAAGCUCUGUUGUGAGGGACGAAGGAGCGCCGUUUGAAGAAGGCGGCGCGGUGACGGUACCUCAAGAGGAAGCCCCGGCUAACUACGUG
rnacentral:rRNA from 1 species